rnacentral:tRNA from 1 species
GCUGGGAUAGUUUAAGUAAAAUAUUAUUUUUGUAAAAUAGUGAUAACAGGUUGUUUCUUAGCU